ACUUUGAAGAGUAGUUAUUUCAAUGAAGCACUGCCCAAGGGACUUGGUAGACAUUUCUCCCCAUCGGCGGGAACAAAAUAAUGUAGAAAAUUCUGCAUUCUACGUGUGCUUUGGAGAGUCCCAAGAAAAUUCUGAGAAACCUGCAGAGCGGCGGUAGGGAGCUGCACC